AACGUAGGUACCGAGCGUUAUCCGGAUUUACUGGGCGUAAAGUGUGCGCAGGCGGCCGAGCAAGUCGAGUGUGAAAGCCCCGAGCUUAACUUGGGAACUGCGCUCGAAACUACUUGGCUGGAGUGUGGCAGAGGAAGGUGGAAUUCCACGUGUAGCGGUGAAAUGCGUAGAGAUGUGGAGGAACACCGAUGGCGAAGGCAGCCUUCUGGGCCAACACUGACGCUCAUGCACGAAAGCGUGGGGAGCAAACAGG
rnacentral:rRNA from 1 species